AUGAACUGUCACAGAAUUUGUUCAAUAUAUAGUGCCAUGGAUUACGAAGAUAUCAAUAAAUCAUACCUAUGUAGAAGAGACACCGGAUAUUAUUAUUACCACAAAUACCUGGGAAUUCUUAAGAUAAAUAUGGUUCAUAAACUUACUGAAUUCCAUUUAGGAUACCGUUUUUCCAACAUAGCAAAUAAUGACAUGCUAUAUGAAGUAAUGAAUUUGUUAUCGAUGACUGCAUCAAAGUAUCAAAUACAUAUUCAGUUGGUAGUGGAGCAUAAAGAUUACCUAUAUUUAUUUUCAAUCACAGCCUGA
rnacentral:rRNA from 1 species